rnacentral:rRNA from 1 species
UGGGGAAUAUUGGACAAUGGGGGGAACCCUGAUCCAGCCAUGCCUCGUGUGUGAAGAAGGCCUUUUGGUUGUAAAGCACUUUAAGCGAGGAGGAGGCUACCGAGAUUAAUACUCUUGGAUAGUGGACGUUACUCGCAGAAUAAGCACCGGCUAACUCUGUGCCAGCAGCCGCGGUAAUACAGAGGGUGCAAGCGUUAAUCGGAUUUACUGGGCGUAAAGCGCGCGUAGGUGGCCAAUUAAGUCAAAUGUGAAAUCCCCGAGCUUAACUUGGGAAUUGCAUUCGAUACUGGUUGGCUAGAGUAUGGGAGAGGAUGGUAGAAUUCCAGGUGUAGCGGUGAAAUGCGUAGAGAUCUGGAGGAAUACCGAUGGCGAAGGCAGCCAUCUGGCCUAAUACUGACACUGAGGUGCGAAAGCAUGGGGAGCAAACAGG